UCUCUGCAGAAAGUCAUGUGAAAAGUCUGUAAACAAAGAUACUCUGACAAAGAUAUUCACAAACAGAGACACCACUUUAAUUUAUACGUUGAGCAUGCUAAAAAAGCGCUAGCACAGAGUAGUCUUGCAUACAAACAGACCAAGGCCAAAUAAGUUGACAAGUUAACAUUGCAGUCAUUCAACUUUUGGAUCCACAUGAUAAUGCAGUGUACCUCAUGCAAGAGAACAGCUAAGACAAUGAUAGGACAAAGAACAAUGGAAUGUCUUCUGUGGUUGCUAGCUGAGACCCUCUACGCUUGACUCUGUCUAUUGGUUGGAUCAUGAAGCCGUCAAAACAUCCAGAAUGCAAAAGAAUCGGAUCAUGUGGUUGUACCAUACUGGACAAGCUGAGAGUGUGUAUGGAGGAGCAGCCAGGCACUUGAAGGGGACCAAGCACACACACUCUAGUUCAGGCAAAUCAAGGAAGCCCUUGAACAAGAGUUGGUCAAACAAGCCGAUCCAAACACACUACAACAAAGAAGAUCCCACCCACUAACAAACAGCCUCAGGGCUCGGAACAACUGCACCCGUCAUGGGCAGCCAGUAAGAAGUGGAAAGAAAUGGAGAACAGAAUCUUAGGGAUAGACUUACCGUAAGAUCUCGAUUUAAAGCGACACUUUUUAAUAAUUACGAAGCCAGAGGUCGCAUCUUUUGGAGGUUGAAAAAUUAUAUUGAAGUCCUGGUGUCGCAUAUUUAGAGGGUCGCAUCUAAUUGGAGGUAACUUUACAGAGUCUACUUGCCUCGAUUUCAGGCCGCUUAAAAACACUGAUUUUCCAGUGGGCUACAAUCGAGGCUAGGGAGUGGCUACAUUUACCUCUAUUUAGAACGCGACAUUAAAAAAUAAUUGUCAACGCAGCUGUCGCUACUUUUAGAGGUCAGAAAAUUGCUGAAGCUCCUGGGUGUCGCAUAUUUGGAGGGUCGCCUUAAAUCGAGGUCUUACGGUAGACUAAUUAUUUACGUAAAUGAAUGUGGUUUCCAAACAGAUUAUUAUUGAAUACAAACGUUGUUGUAGCAGCAUGCACUAUUAACUGUAGUGGCACAGAUAAAGCUAACUAUCAUCUAUCUUCAGUUAAUAAGUACAAUGCCUUGUCCCAGUCUCUGCCUGACUUUUGGUAUGGAUUCACGAAUCUUCUCUCUCAACCUAAAUACUUGACACCCUGAGAGUAGGUGUGAAGAGAGAAAAAUACACUGUUAAUCAGUUGCUUGCUUGGAAUACUCACAGCUACUAAAUACUGAGAGACAUGUGUGCGUGUGAUGGUAAUGACAUUGAGCGUAUUUAGUCACUCCAGGAACAGCAGUUACAAUAGAGCUACAUGUAUUUAGGUAGCAUUUGGAGAAGACAACAAAUACUUGCCACGUCACGUACAGCACAGUUUAAUAAUACAGCCAUGCUUUAUUUAUGUGUAGAUCUAUAUAGUAGGUAAUACAUUAGUUGAAACAUAAGCCUUGUAUGAUAACGAGAGCUCGCUCAAUAAAGUGCUCUAUAAACAACCAAAAUUAUAAACUAGAGCACUAAAGUGCAAACCCUCGGCUGGUGACAUGAUUAUAAAGAAACCAGAAGAGUGAUAUAUUGCAGUGCAUAUAGUGAUGUUGUUAUCAUGUAUGACUUGCACAGCAACUCAGGAGCAAUAAACUAAACCAGACUGGAGGAAACAUUUGAGAACAGGUAGUGGUACUAUAGAUAUAUGCACUGUGGAUUAGGAUCACAGUAAAGAAGCCUGAAGUCUCAAAGAAGUAUGGCUCCAGGUUCUGCAUGGAGUAGGAUCCCAGUCAGCAGGAGCUAUAUUACAAGCUUUCUACUUUAGUGACCCUGUUCCAUUGUUCCUUGUUUGUAUCAGUAAAGCGUUAUACAAAAUGCAAAACUUAAUGUAAUGAUCUUUACCAAAAACAUUGAUGCCUUGUUAGACACCUAUUAUGCUAAGAUUAUGGCAAACAUGUUAGCAUAUCGGAUGGGAGAACAAUAAUUAUUUAUAUGCAUGUACAUAUGUCAAUAUUGGGAACUACCGUAUAGCGCGAAAUUUUCGAGGGGCUUAAUUUUUUGCUGAUUUCGUGGGUUAGCAAUCCUACACGAAAAUUAAGUCCACGACAAUUGUUGAAUUAUCUGCUAUAUAUGCAAAGAUUAAAGGCGUGGCUUCCAGUAAGCAGUCAUUCCAUGAACAUUGUGCAACGAAAUGCUUUUAGAGGCCAUUCAGUGCCUCGAAAAUUUCGCGCUAUACGGUAUAUAUUAUAAUUAUUAUAGCCUAAGUGCAUGGCACAAUUUCAUUAGUCAACACACCAAAGAUUAUACACACUGCACUCCGCAUGUAUAUCUUGAACAUGUGCAUGUUGACAUUAUUCAUUGUUGUAUGAAUCCCAUUGAUAAUACAUAUCCGGUCUCCUACUAAAUUGGAGUGCAUGCAUGUUAUAGUUACAUGAAAUUCUUAUAUAUAAUACCUACAUAAAAAUCUGUAGGCAUUGUAUAAGAGUAUACCAAAAAGUGACGAUAAUACAACCUUGCAAAUGCAGAAAACCUCCAUCAUAAACCAAAAGUAGAUUGACUUCAACAUGGGCAGUAACAUCUCUGUCAACGAUCCUGCACUUCGAGAAGGAUGGAAUGCCACUAUAAGAGCGUAUUUGGGUUCGUUUGCUGAUAUUUAUGGGAGAGAAGUAGCCGCAUGGACCAUCAAUUUAGUUGCAGAAAUCGCAUUGAAUAUUGCACGAAAGGUUCAAAACACGUUAGACGGAAAUUUUUUAACGACUCUAACUCAAAUUGGUGACCUUGCCCGUUACACUGUUAAUAAAACAGUCGCCAGUUGCAUUAUCCCAGCACUCCCUGCCGUGACAACUGUAGUUCAGAAUAUAACCACUAAUUAUUUGGCAACUAACCAAAAAUUUGUUGACUUUUGCGAUCUACUCCUUGGAAAAAUUGUGAAUAAGGUCUUAACUCAUCCUGUUGUUAUGGAAAGUUUCAAGGGUGUAUUAACACACCUCUUGACUCAGCUUGGUGGUGAGGGGCCUAUUUCCGGUGCUAUUGCUACAAUUCUAACAGAUGCCAUAUCACAACUUUCACAAAAGGCUGCCGGUAGCGUUGUACCCGAUCUAGCAACAAGUGCACUAGUGGCCUACAAGGGAAGCAGAACAGACACAGCAAUUACUCAUACUAGAAACGUCUUCGUAACUUCAGUAACCGUCAACGGUGUUGGGCUCCUGGUCAAUCUUUUGUAUUCAUUUUAUCUGUAUCGAGUAGAACAGCGUAUCACAGGAGAUGAGUACAAGCAAUACGCAAAGAAGCAAAUCAAAGCUACAUGUGGUACAAUUGUUGGUGGUACUGCCGGGGGAUAUGUUGCUAUCCUUAUAGCACCUAACCAAUUCUAUAUAAAAAUGAUGGGAGGAGUGCUGGGAGGACUUAUUGGCGAGCAAGUCGGUAUCAGGAUAUAGAUGUCUUUACUCUUGAAAUUGUAACAUGCAAUAGCUAGCUACAGAAUUUGUCGAACUAUCUAUAUUACUUUAAACAUGUGUAUUGUGAUUAUAAUGGUUGAUACUAUUUAAGUGCUAA